rnacentral:rRNA from 1 species
UACGUAGGGUGCGAGCGUUAUCCGGAUUUACUGGGUUUAAAGGGUGCGUAGGCGGGUUGAUAAGUCAGUGGUGAACGCCUGCAGCUUAACUGUAGAAUCGCCGUUGAUACUGUCAAUCUUGAAUAUAGACGAAGUGGGCGGAAUGUGCAGUGUAGCGGUGAAAUGCUUAGAGAUUGCACAGAACACCAAUUGCGUAGGCAGCUUGCGAGACUAUUAUUGACGCUGAGGCACGAAAGCAUGGGGAUCAAACAGG